GCUAAAACCUCCAGAAAGCCUCUCAUAAGGAUGAAACAGAACAAAAGAUGAUUAUCAAGUGUUUUACGCCUAAAAGGGUUCUGUGGAUGCUGCAGCAUGGGAUGUGAAAGACGGUCGCUGGAUAGAAAUUCCAAUGAGGGAGCCAUUUCAUCUACGUUUUUAUUCUGACUAAAAAGGGAGCCUUGGUAAUUAGAUUAAAGUGAAUGUGUGAUCUUUAGAUGAACUUUGUCAUAGUGAUUAAGGGUCAGAGAUAUGAUGGUAUUUAAACUUUUAGCUCCUUUUUUAGGCAACUAUCUCACAUUGAUUUUACUGACAGCUAGCUGCCUGAAUA